rnacentral:rRNA from 1 species
ACUGAACGCUGGCGGAAUGCUUUACACAUGCAAGUCGAACGGCAGCACGGGGCAACCUGGUGGCGAGUGGCGAACGGGUGAGUAAUACAUCGGAACGUGCCCAAUCGUGGGGGAUAACGUAGCGAAAGCUACGCUAAUACCGCAUACGAUCUACGGAUGAAAGCGGGGGAUCGCAAGACCUCGCGCGAAUGGAGCGGCCGAUGGCAGAUUAGGUAGUUGGUGGGGUAAAGGCUCACCAAGCCUGCGAUCUGUAGCUGGUCUGAGAGGACGACCAGCCACACUGGAACUGAGACACGGUCCAGACUCCUACGGGAGGCAGCAGUGGGGAAUUUUGGACAAUGGCGGCAAGCCUGAUCCAGCCAUUCCGCGUGCAGGAUGAAGGCCC